UUGGGAGGUUAGAGCAGUCGAUUGGGUGCUACACGCGGGGGCUGGAGAUCCAGAUCCAGUCGCUGGGAGAGUCUGAUCCGAGGGUUGCUGAGACUUGCAGAUACCUAGCAGAGGCGCACGUCCAGGCCAUGCAGUUUGAGGAUGCAGAGCGUCUGUGCCGAAAGACCCUAGACAUCCAUCGCGAGCACAGCCCGCCGGCGUCCCUCGAGGAGGCAGCUGACCGCCGCCUGAUGGCCCUCAUCUGCGAAGCGAAGGGUGAUGCUGAAGCCGCCCUCGAGCACCUUGUUCUUGCUUCCAUGGCCCUCAUUGCCAAUGCCCAG
rnacentral:misc_RNA from 1 species